AUGAGAUUUAAAAUCAUUUUGAUGAUUUCUCUAAGAUUAUGUUGAGUUUCUAAAACUUGGUUUGUGUUAAAUCUGUUCAUUGAUUUGGAGACUGACAGAUAUAAAAGAUGUAAAACUUUUUUACAUGUUCAUAGCCUUCUAUGAAGAGUGUGGAAGAAUCACAACAAUGAAGAGAAGAUAUGUUUCUUGGGGAGCAUGUUCAAUCUAAUUCAAGUAGAUACAUGGAGUCGUGAAGAUAAAUUCUGAUCACACCGCAUUCUGGUCAUCAUUACCUAGUUGAAGAGGUUUAUUGGAGAAGAACUAUCAGUGUUUUAAAGCAGUGGUCUUCAAACGGGGGCACACAAAGACUUUCCAAGGGGGGUACAUAAAUAUAAAUAGUUUUAAGGUAA
rnacentral:lncRNA from 1 species